UGAUUCCAGUAGUGUCGAAAGUUCCUUCUCCGCGACGUGCUUGCACGAGAGGGGAGAAGGAACUUUAUGACACGCCCCCUUCAUGAGCAUGCAGCGGGGCGAAGCCACGCGGGAAUGCGAAUGAAGGGCGCGGGGCGGGAGCGGCCCGGGCCGCAAAGCCACGCGGGAAUCA
rnacentral:sRNA from 1 species